rnacentral:rRNA from 1 species
GACAGAGGGUGCAAACGUUGUUCGGAAUUACUGGGCGUAAGCGCGUGUAGGUGGUGGGGCAAGUCGGAUGUGAAAGCCCAGGGCUCAACCCUGGAAGUGCAUUCGAUACUGCUUCACUGGAGUCCCGGAGAGGAUGGUGGAACUCUCGGUGUAGAGGUGAAAUUCGUAGAUAUCGAGAAGAACACCGGCGGCGAAGGCGGCCAUCUGGAUGGUGGCUGACACUGAGACGCGAAAGCGUGGGGAGCAACAGG